GCAACAACCUAGCCCAACCAACAAACAAAAAUACAACAAAACAAAAUUAUCCCACAAAACACUAAUCAAAACAUUUUCACCAUCCUAGUAUAGGAGAUAGAAAAGAAAAAGUUGGAGCAAUAAAGACAGUACCGCAAGGAAAAGAUGAAAAAUAAUGAAACACUCACCAAGCACUAAAAAGCAAAGACUAACCCUUAUACCUUUCGCAUCAUGAUUUAGCGAGCACAUCCAAGCAAAGAGACCUGAAGUCUGAACUCCCGAAACCAAGUGAGCUACUUAAAGGCAACCCCAUCGGGCUAAAUCCGUCUCUGUGGCAAAAGAGUGGAAAGACCUAUAAGUAGAGGUGAAAAGCCUAACGAACUUGGCGAUAGCUGGUUGCUCAACAAGAGAAUAUAAGUUCAACCUUAAACCUUCUACAAAACACCUCAAAGUAUAAAAGAAAAGUUUAAGAUCUAUUCAACCGGGGUACAGCCCGGUUGAAAAAGGACACAGCCUAAAAUGGAGGACAAAAUACUAAAACACUCACUACCGUAGGCCUUAAAGCAGCCAUCGCCAAAGAAAGCGUCAAAGCUCAGCCACCCAAAAUAAAAUAAUAAACUUUUUUCCCCAAACAACAUUGAGCUAUUCUACCCCAAUAGAAGAACUAAUGCUAAAAUGAGUAACAAGAAGAACAAAACUUCUCUAAUGCGCUAGCUUAAAUCAUAACAGAUAAACUACUGAUUAUUAACAGCUAUAUUAUAAAACCAAUAACACUUAAAACACCCUAUAAACCAAACUGUUAACCCAACACAGGAGCGCAUACAAGAAAGAUUAAAAUUUGUAAAAGGAACUAGGCAAACUAAACGAGCCCGACUGUUUACCAAAAACAUAGCCCCCAGCAAGAACACAAGUAUUAGGGGUAAUGCCUGCCCAGUGACAUUGUUAAACGGCCGCGGUAUCCUAACCGUGCAAAGGUAGCGUAAUCACUUGUCUUUUAAAUAAAGACUAGAAUGAAUGGCCAAACGAGGUUCUACCUGUCUCUUACAAAUAAUCAGUGAAAUUGAUCUUCCCGUGCAAAAGCAGGAAUAACACUAUAAGACGAGAAGACCCUGUGGAACUUCAAAUAUAAAUCAACUAUUACCAGUACCAACCCAACAGGACUACGCCAAAAUAACAUUUGAUUUCUAUUUUCGGUUGGGGUGACCUCGGAGCAAAACAAAACCUCCGAAAAAAUAAAGAAAUUCUUUAAACCUAGAAUGACAGUCCAAAGUGCUCCCAGCAAAACGAUCCAAUAUAUUUGAUCAACGAACCAAGCUACCCCAGGGAUAACAGCGCAAUCCCAUUUUAGAGUCCCUAUCGACAAUGGGGUUUACGACCUCGAUGUUGGAUCAGGACAUCCUGAUGGUGUAGCCGCUAUCAAGGGUUCGUUUGUUCAACGAUUAACAGUCCUACGUGAUCUGAGUUCAGACCGGAGCAAUCCAGGUCGGUUUCUAUCUAUAAGCUUUUAGCCUUUUCCAGUACGAAAGGACCGAAAAGACAAGGCCAAUAUCAAAAACAAGCCUUACCCUUACAUUAGUGAAAACAACUUAACUAAUAAUAAGACAAAGCCCCCAAAGCCCAAAAAAAGGGCUAA
rnacentral:rRNA from 1 species